rnacentral:rRNA from 1 species
GACGAACGCUGGCGGCAUGCCUAAUACAUGCAAGUCGAGCGAACAGAUGAAGUGCUUGCACUUCUGACGUUAGCGGCGAACGGGUGAGUAACACGUAAGGAAUCUACCUAUAAGCGGGGGAUAACAUUCGGAAACGGAUGCUAAUACCGCAUAAUAUCUUCUUCCGUAUGGAAGAAGAUUGAAAGACGGCUCUGCUGUCCCUUGUAGAUGACCUUGCGGUGCAUUAGUUAGUUGGUGGGGUAACGGCCUACCAAGACGAUGAUGCAUAGCCGACCUGAGAGGGUGAUCGGCCACAUUGGGACUGAGACACGGCCCAAACUCCUACGGGAGGCAGCAGUAGGGAAUCUUCCGCAAUGGGCGAAAGCCUGACGGAGCAAUGCCGCGUGAGUGAAGAAGGCCUUCGGGUCGUAAAACUCUGUUAUAAGAGAAGAACAAAUUGUAGAGUAACUGCUACAGUCUUGACGGUAUCUUAUCAGAAAGCCACGGCUAACUACGUGCCAGCCGCCGCUGUAA